rnacentral:lncRNA from 1 species
AAAAAUUGAAAUGUUGAUUAAGGCUCUAUCUGAAGAAAAAGAUGGUCUGAAAAAUGAUGGAACUGAUGAAGAAGAAGAAAAUGAAGACAUUACUGAUGCAAGUGAUGAGGAAGAGGCUACCAGCAGUGAUGAAGAUUAAUGAUCUAUAGAGCUUUUAUGUGUUGAUUUUGUUUUUGUUUAUUUUGUGGGUUGUGCCCAGGAUUCUAUUUUGUGCACUUUAUAAGUGCUCUUUGGUUUGUAAACUCUCUUGAUCGUAUGUGGCUUACAGUGAUGUCUUGGUUAAUGUGUUUUGUUUGUCAA